UACAGAGGGCCCAAGCGUUGUUCGGAUUCACUGGGCGUAAAGGGUGCGCAGGUGGUCGGGUAAGUCUGACGUGAAAUCCCGCAGCUUAACUGCGGAAUGGCAUUGGAUACUAUUCGGCUAGAGGGUUGGAGGGGGGACUGGAAUUCUCGGUGUAGCAGUGAAAUGCGUAGAUAUCGAGAGGAACACCAGUGGCGAAGGCGAGUCCCUGGACAACUCCUGACGCUGAGGCACGAAAGCUAGGGGAGCAAACAGG
rnacentral:rRNA from 1 species